ensembl:snRNA U6 U6 spliceosomal RNA
AUGAAGACACACAUAUACUAAAAUUGGAAUGAUACAGAGAAGAUUAGCAUGGCCGCUUUGCAAGGAUAACACACAAAUUCAUGAAGCGUUCCAUAUUUUA